CUUCUGUACCACAUACAAAAAGAAACACGUGGGUUUAGCAGCUCUCAGUAGCCCAUCCCAUUUCAUGGGGAAUGACAUCUCUUCACCAGGUUGAAGUUUCUAUAACCACUCUGCGUCUUCAGUAAUGAAGAAACAUGACUGUCCCUUGUAACUGUAGCAAAACCAUUUUUGUGAUAAAACCCAGCAGAAUUGACUCCUCUCCAACAUAUUAUUCACUGAUUCCAAGUGAGAGUGUUAGCCGGUCCUCUGCUUAAAAG